AUGAGACUGUUGGGUCUUCUCCUGUGCCUGGUGGCAGGUCCCCAAGGUGUCCUGUCCCAGGUGCAGCUGCAGGAGUCGGGCCCAGGCCUGGUGAAGCCCUCGCAGACGCUCUCCCUCACCUGCACUGUCUCUGGUGGCUCCAUCACAACCAGCUAUUAUGGUUGGAGCUGGAUCCGCCAGCCUCCAGGGAAGGGGCUGGAGUGGAUGGGAGCCAUAGCUUAUAGUGGCAGCACUUACUACAGCCCAUCCCUCAAGAGCCGCACCUCCAUCUCCAGGGACACGUCCAAGAACCAGUUCUCCCUGCAGCUGAGCUCUGUGACCCCUGAGGACACGGCCGUGUAUUACUGUGCCAGAGACACAUCCCCAGGUGUCCUGUCACGGGUGCUGGUGUAG